CAACCGGACAACUUUACAAAGCACCAAAAGACACUUCACAGUCCAACACCAGUCUGUGCUGUUUUACACACGUCAGGAAAAUUAUGGCCAAUCAGAGACCAGUUUAUGAUUAAACUUCCCAGCAUGCCCUGAGCCUGGCGUCUAUACAGAUUUUUGAGAUCGCUGACCAAAGUUUCAGGUCAAAGCCUGUAACUAUUACUAUAACUUUGUUUCACUAGUACAUCACAGGAAAAUAAGAAUGCUUAAAGAAAAACUUAACUUAAACACCGUAAAAUGAGCCCUUUUACAUCUGCAGAGGGAGCUGGUCCUCUUCCAUGGAGUCCGUAGCCACUAGAGUUUCUCC